GCCGGGGCGCACGUCGGCUCCCACGCUUAGCCAGCUCCCGAGUUUCACUCUUGUUGCCCAGGCUGGAGUGCAAUGGCACGAUCUCGGCUCACCGCAACCUCUGCCUCUUGGGUUCAAGCGAUUCUCCUGCCUCAGCCUCUCGAGUAGCUGGGAUUACAGGCAUGUGCCACCACGCCUGGCUAAUUUUUAUAUUUUCAGUAGAGACGGGGUUUCACCAUGUUGGUCAGGCUGGUCUCGAACUCUCAACCUCAGGUGAUCCACCCGCCUCAGCCUCCCAAAGUGCUGGGAUUACAGGUGUGAGCCACCGCACCCGGCCCAUAUAGAGAAAUACUGUUUAGCAAUAGAAAGAACCAUAAAUUGAUGAGAAUAAUUGCCAAGAUGUUUUUUUUUUUUUUUUUUUUUGAGACGGAGUCUCACUCUGUUGCCCAGGCUAGAGGGUAGUGGCGCAAUCUCGGCUCACUGCAAGCUCUGCCUCCUGGGUUCAUGCCAUUCUCCCGCCUCAGCCUCCUGAGUAGCUGGAACUACAGGCGCCCGCCACCAUGCUUGGCUAAUUUUUUUGUAUUUUUAGUAGAGAUGGGGUUUCACCGUG
rnacentral:lncRNA from 10 species